rnacentral:rRNA from 1 species
GACGAACCGUACGAACGUUAUUCGGAAUUACUGGGCUUAAAGGGUGCGUAGGCUGCGCAGUAAGUUGGGUGUGAAAUCCCUCGGCUUAACCGAGGAACUGCGCCCAAAACUACUGUGCUCGAGGGAGACAGAGGUGAGCGGAACUUAGGGUGGAGCGGUGAAAUGCGUUGAUAUCCUAAGGAACACCUGUGGCGAAGGCGACUUACUGGACACAUAUUGACGCUGAGGUGCGAAAGCGUGGGGAGCAAACAGG